GACGAACGCUGGCGGCGUGCUUAACACAUGCAAGUCGAACGGAAAGGCCCUGCUUUUGUGGGGUGCUCGAGUGGCGAACGGGUGAGUAACACGUGAGUAACCUGUACUUGACUUUGGGAUAACUUCAGGAAACUGGGGCUAAUACCGGAUAGGAGCUCCCGCUGUAUGGUGGGGGUUGGAAAGUUUCGGCGGUUGGGGGUGGACUAGCGGCGUAUCAGCUUGGUGGUGGGGUAGUGGCUUACCAAGGCUUUGACGGGUAGCCGGGCUGGGCGGGUGACCGGACAAACUGGGACGGGGCUGCGACACAGACUACUACGGGAGGGGAGGGUGGGGAAUGUUACAUUAUGGGCUGAGCGCUAGUGCGGUAAAGCCACGUGGGGGGUGACGGGCAUCCGUUUGUGUUCCACUUUCGCCUUUCACGAGACGUUAGUGACAGUAAUGGGUGAAGAAGCACCGGCUAACUACGUG
rnacentral:rRNA from 1 species